GGUGGCUCAGGGGUAGAGUGCUUGCCUUGCAUGCAUGAGGCCCUGGGUUCGAUUCCUUAGCACCA
rfam:Dipodomys ordii contig_16579, whole genome shotgun sequence.